CCCGCCAGCCCGAUCAUUUUUGUGUUUAUGCAACUUUUGUAUUUUCACCGAUCAGAGUAGUUGCAUAGUCACAAAAGUGAUUGGGAGGGUUGG
rnacentral:pre_miRNA from 15 species